UACGGAGGGAGCGAGCGUUGUCCGAAGUUACUGGGCGUAAAGCGUGCGCAGGCGGUUAUGUAAGACAGAUGUGAAAUCCCCGGGCUCAACCCUGGGAACUGCAUUUGUGACUGCAUAGCUAGAGUACGGUAGAGGGGGAUGGAAUUCCGCGUGUAGCAGUGAAAUGCGUAGAUAUGCGGAGGAACACCGGGUGGCGAAGGCGGGUCUCUGGGCCGGAUACUGACGCUGGAGGAGCGAAAGCGUGGGGAGCAAACAGG
rnacentral:rRNA from 1 species